rnacentral:rRNA from 1 species
ACUCCUACGGGAGGCAGCAGUAGGGAAUUUUCCGCAAUGGACGAAAGUCUGACGGAGCAAUGCCGCGUGAGUGAUGAAGGUUUUCGAAUCGUAAAGCUCUGUUGUAAGGGAAGAAUAGCAAGAAUAGGAAAUGAUUCUUGUCUGACGGUACCUUACCAGAAAGCCACGGCUAACUCCGUGCCAGCAGCCGCGGUAAUACGGAGGGUGCGAGCGUUAAUCGGAAUUACUGGGCGUAAAGCGCGUGUAGGUGGCUUGUUAAGCCAGAUGUGAAAGCCCCGGGCUCAACCUGGGAACUGCAUUUGGAACUGGCAGGCUAGAGUUUUGUAGAGGGUGGUAGAAUUUCAGGUGUAGCGGUGAAAUGCGUAGAGAUCUGAAGGAAUACCGGUGGCGAAGGCGACCACCUGGCCAAUAACUGACACUGAGACGCGAAGGCGUGGGUAGCAAACGGGAUUAGAUACCCUGGUAGGCUCUG